GGCUCCAUGGUCAAGAGGUUAAGACGUGACCCUCUCAAGGUCGAGUCACGGGUUCGAUUCCCGUUGGAGUCA
rnacentral:tRNA from 2 species